UUUGAGGGAAAGGUGGAGUCAGAGAAAGUUGGAGAGGUAUUGGAGGAGGUAGAGGAAGAAGAGCUGGGUAGUAACUCGGGUAUUGGUUAUGGUUAAAGAACCCAAACUGGUUUGAAUAUUGAAAGAGGUGAUGCUGAUAUUGGUACUGAUAUUGAUGCUUAUGGGUGGGGUUAGUCUUAGUCCUGCCUCUGAAAGUCCUAGUCUUGGUGGUGCAUUUCUUGCUACCAUUUGAUUCUUCUGAGUUCUCCAUCUACCUGAUUGCGAGAGAAACAAUACAAAGAGAAAAUAGGGAUUAACAUUAAUCUCAUGACAUGAGGGACAGAAAUGAAAGAGAGAAAGAAAGAGAUGGAUUCUGCUCCUUAUAGAUAUCAAUCAAUGGCAAAGUGUCUCAGGAGAAGACUGCAGUUAUUGCAGAUAGAGAACAAGAGUUUGGGUUUUAGUUCCUGAGGUUCUUUGUGUCUAGUUCUGAGAGAGAGAGAGAGAGAGGUCUGCUUGGUUGCUUGCCUUGGUUGGGGUUGGCGUUGGUGUUGGUGUUGGUGUUGGUGUUGGUGUUGGU
rnacentral:misc_RNA from 1 species